UACAGAGACUACGAACGUUACUCGGAUUCACUGGGCGUAAAGGAUGCGCAGGCGGUCAGGUGUGUCAGGUGUGAAAUCUCGGGGCUUAGCCCCGAAACUGCGCUUGAAACUAUCUGACUGGAGUUUUGGAGGGGUAAGCGGAAUUCUAGGUGUAGCGGUGAAAUGCGUAGAUAUCUAGAGGAACACCAACGGCGAAGGCAGCUUACUGGCCAAAAACUGACGCUCAUGCACGAAAGCGUGGGGAGCAAGAAGGAUUAGAUACCCUUGUAGUCCACGCCCUAAACGUUGUACACUAAGUCUCGGCCGGUUCGACCUGGUCGGGGCCUAAGCUAACGCGAUAAGUGUACCGCCUGAGGACUACGGCCGCAAGGCUAAA
rnacentral:rRNA from 1 species